rnacentral:misc_RNA from 1 species
CCAAACUUGGUCAUUUAGAGGAAGUAAAAGUCGUAACAAGGUUUCCGUAGGUGAACCUGCGGAAGGAUCAUUACCGAGUGCGGGCUUCUCGCCCAACCUCCCACCCGUGUUGACCUGUGACCGUGUUGCUUCGGCGGGCCUAUCAGGGCCUGUCCCUGAUCGCUGGGGGGCCCCGUGCCCCCGGGCGUGUGCCCGCCGGAGAACCUUUGAACCCUGUAUGAAUUGGGCGUCUGAGUAAAGAUUGAAUUCUUAAAACUUUCAACAACGGAUCUCUUGGUUCCGGCAUCGAUGAAGAACGCAGC